GAUGAACGCUGGCGGCGUGCCUAAUACAUGCAAGUCGAGCGAAUGGAUUAAGAGCUUGCUCUUAUGAAGUUAGCGGCGGACGGGUGAGUAACACGUGGGUAACCUGCCCAUUAGACUGGGAUAACUCCGGGAAACCGGGGCUAAUACCGGAUAACAUUUUGAACCGCAUGGUUCGAAAUUGAAAGGCGGCUUCGGCUGUCACUUAUGGAUGGGGCCGCGUCGCAUUAGCUAGUUGGUGAGGUAACGGCUCACCAAGGCAACGAUGCGUAGCCGACCUGAGAGGGUUAUCGGCCACACUGGGACUGAGACACGGCCCAGACUCCUACGGGAGGCAGCAGUAGGGAAUCUUCCGCAAUGGACGAAAGUCUGACGGAGCAACGCCGCGUGAGUGAUGAAGGCUUUCGGGUCGUAAAACUCUGUUGUUAGGGAAGAACAAGUGCUAGUUGAAUAAGCUGGCACCUUGACGGUACCUAACCAGAAAGCCACGGCUAACUACGUGCCAGCCGCCGCAGUAA
rnacentral:rRNA from 1 species